UUAAGCGACUAAGCGUACACGGUGGAUGCCCUGGCAGUCAGAGGCGAUGAAGGGCGUGCUAAUCUGCGAUAAGCGCCGGUAAGGUGAUAUGAACCGUUAUAACCGGCGAUACCCGAAUGGGGAAACCCAGUGUGACUCGUCACACUAUCAUUAACUGAAUCCAUAGGUUAAUGAGGCGAACCGGGGGAACUGAAACAUCUAAGUACCCCGAGGAAAAGAAAUCAACCGAGAUUCCCCCAGUAGCGGCGAGCGAACGGGGAGGAGCCCAGAGCCUGAAUCAGCAUGUGUGUUAGUGGAAGCGUCUGGAAAGGCGCGCGAUACAGGGUGACAGCCCCGUACACAAAAGCGCAUGUGCUGUGAGCUCGAUGAGUAGGGCGGGACACGUGGUAUCCUGUCUGAAUAUGGGGGGACCAUCCUCCAAGGCUAAAUACUCCUGACUGACCGAUAGUGAACCAGUACCGUGAGGGAAAGGCGAAAAGAACCCCGGCGAGGGGAGUGAAAAAGAACCUGAAACCGUGUACGUACAAGCAGUGGGAGCCCCACCACCAAAGCGUUUCGCUUUGUGUGGUGCACAAAGAAGCGUAACGACAGCACUGAAUGACGGUUAACGGAGCGCAAGCGACGUUCAACAUACAAAGUCAAGCAGUGGAGCGCUUUGGGGUGGGGUGACUGCGUACCUUUUGUAUAAUGGGUCAGCGACUUAUAUUCUGUAGCAAGGUUAACCGAAUAGGGGANAUUCUCUGGUGUUGAAGGCCCUGCAAAGCAGCAUCGCGGUGGCGGAGCGUCGUUUGCGACGCCCAACACACAAAACAAGCGGUGAGUGCUUUGGGGUGGGGUGACUGCGUACCUUUUGUAUAAUGGGUCAGCGACUUAUAUUCUGUAGCAAGGUUAACCGAAUAGGGGAGCCGGAGGGAAACCGAGUCUUAACCGGGCGUUAAGUUGCAGGGUAUAGACCCGAAACCCGGUGAUCUAGCCAUGGGCAGGUUGAAGGUUGGGUAACACUAACNACAGGUUUACCUGUGUGACUGCGUACCUUUUGUAUAAUGGGUCAGCGACUUAUAUUCUGUAGCAAGGUUAACCGAAUAGGGGAGCCGGAGGGAAACCGAGUCUUAACCGGGCGUUAAGUUGCAGGGUAUAGACCCGAAACCCGGUGAUCUAGCCAUGGGCAGGUUGAAGGUUGGGUAACACUAACUGGAGGACCGAACCGACUAAUGUUGAAAAAUUAGCGGAUGACCUGUGGCUGGGGGUGAAAGGCCAAUCAAACCGGGAGAUAGCUGGUUCUCCCCGAAAGCUAUUUAGGUAGCGCCUCGUGAAUUCAUCUCCGGGGGUAGAGCACUGUUUCGGCUAGGGGGCCAUCCCGGCUUACCAACCCGAUGCAAACUGCGAAUACCGGAGAAUGUUAUCACGGGAGACACACGGCGGGUGCUAACGUCCGUCGUGAAGAGGGAAACAACCCAGACCGCCAGCUAAGGUCCCAAAGUCAUGGUUAAGUGGGAAACGAUGUGGGAAGGCCCAGACAGCCAGGAUGUUGGCUUAGAAGCAGCCAUCAUUUAAAGAAAGCGUAAUAGCUCACUGGUCGAGUCGGCCUGCGCGGAAGAUGUAACGGGGCUAAACCAUGCACCGAAGCUGCGGCAGCGACGCUUAUGCGUUGUUGGGUAGGGGAGCGUUCUGUAAGCCUGUGAAGGUGGCCUGUGAGGGUUGCUGGAGGUAUCAGAAGUGCGAAUGCUGACAUNACGUAUCACCCAAGACAACUUUACGGAGUUGACGAUUGACGGAGCGAAGCGACGUCAAAGCGUUCAUUAAAGUCGAGUUGGCUUAGGGAUACGUUCGUUGGGUAGGGGAGCGUUCUGUAAGCCUGCGAAGGUGGCCUGUGAGGGUUGCUGGAGGUAUCAGAAGUGCGAAUGCUGACAUAAGUAACGAUAAAGCGGGUGAAAAGCCCGCUCGCCGGAAGACCAAGGGUUCCUGUCCAACGUUAAUCGGGGCAGGGUGAGUCGACCCCUAAGGCGAGGCCGAAAGGCGUAGUCGAUGGGAAACGGGUUAAUAUUCCCGUACUUGGUGUUACUGCGAAGGGGGGACGGAGAAGGCUAUGUUGGCCGGGCGACGGUUGUCCCGGUUUAAGCGUGUAGGUGUGUGUUCCAGGUAAAUCCGGUUCACUUUAACACUGAGGCGUGAUGACGAGGCACUACGGUGCUGAAGCAACAAAUGCCCUGCUUCCAGGAAAAGCCUCUAAGCAUCAGGUAACAUCAAAUCGUACCCCAAACCGACACAGGUGGUCAGGUAGAGAAUACCAAGGCGCUUGAGAGAACUCGGGUGAAGGAACUAGGCAAAAUGGUGCCGUAACUUCGGGAGAAGGCACGCUGACACGUAGGUGAAGUGAUUUACUCAUGGAGCUGAAGUCAGUCGAAGAUACCAGCUGGCUGCAACUGUUUAUUAAAAACACAGCACUGUGCAAACACGNUAUGUAGGUGAAGCGGUUUACCCGUGGAGCUGAAAUCAGUCG
rnacentral:rRNA from 1 species